rnacentral:lncRNA from 1 species
AAAGGAUGGGCAAGGCUCAGCUUCUCCUUCUGGAAACGUAGCUCAUCUCCAAAGAAGACCAGUUCAUUUUCUACUAUGGACAAUGUGGAUGGUAGUUCUCUUGUGCUCACAGGUUCAGCACAUGUUACAGAAGAGCAUUUUCCUUCAGAGAUUAUUCACAGGUGUCCCACAGCCCAUAGCAAAUACAGGGCACAUUAAGUUCAAAUAAAUUUAUGCAAAUAUGUGUGGAAACGGUCUGUAGCCUGCAGGAGCCUGAGGAGAAGGGAGGAGCCAGCAGCCCCAGUCAAGUCUAGCACAGUGCAUCUUGGCCUGCAGUGAUGGCUGUUUCCCCUGGAAAGGUC